rnacentral:rRNA from 1 species
GUUAAAUGGAUAACUGUAAUAACUCUAGAGCUAAUACAUGCCAUGAUGCCCUGACCCUAUCCACUCGCUGGCUGGGGAAUGGGUGCACUUAUUAGAUCAGAAGCCAACCAGUGCAUGCGUUCGAGCCCUUUCCGGGGUGAGAUCGUGUGGGCUGUAGUACUUCUGGUGACUCUGGAUAAUUGUUACAGAUCGCAGUCGACCUUGAGUUGGCGACGGGUCCUUCAAAUGUCUGCCCUAUCAACUUUCGAUGGUAGGUGACCUGCCUACCAUGGUGAUAACGGGUAACGGGGAAUCAGGGUUCGAUUCCGGAGAGGGAGCCUGAGAAACGGCUACCACUUCCAAGGGAGGCAGCAGGCGCGCAAAUUACCCACUCCCAGUACGGGGAGGUGGUGACGAAAAAUACCGAUGCGGGACUCAUUUAAGAGGCUCCGUAAUCGGAAUGAGUGGACUCUAAAUCCUUUCACGAGGAUCAAUUGGAGGGCAAGUCUGGUGCCAGCAGCCGCGGUAACUCCAGCUCCAAUAGCGUAUAUUAAAGUUGCUGCAGUUAAAAAGCUCGUAGUUGGAUCUCGGUAGCAUUGUUGCCUGCAUAGUACUUAACCGUCAGUGUGUGCGUCGUAUUGUGUGCACGUGUGUGUGUGUGUGUGUGUGCGGUGCUCUGCUCGGCUUUGUCUACCUGCGUUGCCUACCUACUGCGCGUUUUCAUACGCCUGUGUAGUGUAAUGUUGGAAAUUU